GGAGGUGUAGCUCAUUAGCAGAGUUUGUGCUUAGCAUGCACGAGUUCCUGGGUUCAAUCCCCAGACCUCUG
rnacentral:tRNA from 1 species